rnacentral:rRNA from 1 species
CGGGAAGAGCUCAAAUUUAAAAUCUGGCGUGCCUCUGGUCGUCCGAAUUGUAGUCUGAAGAAGCGUCUUCUGUGUUGGACCGUGUACAAGUCUCUUGGAACAGGGCGUCAUAGAGGGUGAG